rnacentral:rRNA from 1 species
CAGGCCUAACACAUGCAAGUCGAGGGGCAGCAUGAGAUUAGCUUGCUAAUCUUGAUGGCGACCGGCGCACGGGUGAGUAACGCGUAUCCAACCUUCCCCUUAGUAGGGCAUAGCCCGGCGAAAGUCGGAUUAAUACCCUAUGUUGUAUAUUGAGGACAUCUGAUUUAUACUAAAGAUUUAUCGCUAAGGGAUGGGGAUGCGUCUGAUUAGGUGGUAGGCGGGGUAACGGCCCACCUAGCCGACGAUCAGUAGGGGUUCUGAGAGGAAGGUCCCCCACAUUGGAACUGAGACACGGUCCAAACUCCUACGGGAGGCAGCAGUGAGGAAUAUUGGUCAAUGGGCGCGAGCCUGAACCAGCCAAGUAGCGUGGGGGAUGACUGCCCUAUGGGUUGUAAACCCCUUUUGCGCGGGGAUAAACCGGCGGACGUGUCCGUCGCUGCAGGUACCGCGCGAAUAAGGACCGGCUAAUUCCGUGCCAGCAGCCGCGGUAAUACGGAAGGUCCGGGCGUUAUCCGGAUUUAUUGGGUUUAAAGGGAGCGUAGGCGGGAGAUUAAGCGUGCUGUGAAAUCCGGCGGCUCAACCGUCGCGAGCAGCGCGAACUGGUUUCCUUGAGUGCGCGGGAGGCAGGCGGAAUUCGUGGUGUAGCGGUGAAAUGCUUAGAUAUCACGAAGAACCCCGAUUGCGAAGGCAGCCUGCCGUAGCGUUACUGACGCUGAAGCUCGAAGGUGCGGGUAUCGAACAGGAUUAGAUACCCUGGUAGUCCGCACGGUAAACGAUGGAUGCCCGCUGUCCGCGCUCGUCGUGGGUGGCCAAGCGAAAGCGUUAAGCAUCCCACCUGGGGAGUACGCCGGCAACGGUGAAACUCAAAGGAAUUGACGGGGGCCCGCACAAGCGGAGGAACAUGUGGUUUAAUUCGAUGAUACGCGAGGAACCUUACCCGGGCUUGAAUUGCAGAGGAAUGUCUGAGAGAUCAGUCAGCCCUUCGGGGUCUCUGUGAAGGUGCUGCAUGGUUGUCGUCAGCUCGUGCCGUGAGGUGUCGGCUUAAGUGCCAUAACGAGCGCAACCCCUCUCCGUAGUUGCCAUCGGGUAAUGCCGGGCACUCUGCGGACACUGCCACCGCAAGGUGCGAGGAAGGUGGGGACGACGUCAAAUCAGCACGGCCCUUACGUCCGGGGCUACACACGUGUUACAAUGGGGCAUACAGAGAGCCUGGCCGCCGGCGACGUCGGCCGAAUCAUUAAAGUGCCCCUCAGUUCGGAUUGGGGUCUGCAACCCGACCCCAUGAAGCUGGAUUCGCUAGUAAUCGCGCAUCAGCCAUGGCGCGGUGAAUACGUUCCCGG